GUUGUUUCAUAUAUAAAAAAAUCAGUUGGCAAUUGUACAGUAAAUUGAUGGUGACUCUUGUAAUUAUUGUAUCAAAUUGAGACAUGGCAUCUAAAGCAUUAUGAUGCUGAGAAAUGAUGGACUGGAAUAGAGCUUGGGCCAUUAUAUGAUAAAAUGAUGGAGUUAAGGGGUCAACAUCCUCCAGAAGAAUUGUCUGAUAAAGAGAUUAUGGAGCGUGUACUUGGACGUGAUUCGGUAUACUUGCGAGGGUGGGGGCGGUCUCCUAGUGUCACAACUUCUACUUCACAUCGUGAAAAUAUUGUGGGUAAUCAACCAACUUAUGAAGAGUUAGUUGAAUGACUUAAUGAUACAACUUUCCGCCUUUGUGGAUAUACUUCGUCAUAACAAUUUGAU